UACGGGGGGGGCAAGCGUUGUUCGGAAUUACUGGGCGUAAAGGGCUCGUAGGCGGCCAACUAAGUCAGACGUGAAAUCCCUCGGCUUAACCGGGGAACUGCGUCUGAUACUGGAUGGCUAGAGGUUGGGAGAGGGAUGCGGAAUUCCAGGUGUAGCGGUGAAAUGCGUAGAUAUCAGGAAGAACACCCGUGGCGAAAGCGGCUCUCUGGAACGGUACUGACGCUGAGACGCGAAAGCGUGGGGAGCGAACAGG
rnacentral:rRNA from 1 species